AUUCUUUUGUAGUUCACAAGGGUGAUGACUGAGUGUUCACACUCUUAUGUGAGAUGUGCCUCCCCCAAACCUUGUUAGGACGUCAGCACAUUACCCAUCUGACG